GAUUAAAUGGCUGAAGUUUAGGCAAUAGAUUGUAAAUCUAUGUAUGAAGAUUACCUUCUUUAAUCA
rnacentral:tRNA from 1 species